ACGGAAAGGCCCUGCUUGCAGGGUACUCGAGUGGCGAACGGGUGAGUAACACGUGGGUGAUCUGCCCUGCACUUCGGGAUAAGCCUGGGAAACUGGGUCUAAUACCGGAUAGGAGCCAUUUUUAGUGUGAUGGUUGGAAAGUUUUUUUCGGUGUAGGAUGAGCUCGCGGCCUAUCAGCUUGUUGGUGGGGUAAUGGCCUACCAAGGCGGCGACGGGUAGCCGGCCUGAGAGGGUGGACGGCCACAUUGGGACUGAGAUACGGCCCAGACUCCUACGGGAGGCAGCAGUGGGGAAUAUUGCACAAUGGGCGCAAGCCUGAUGCAGCGACGCCGCGUGGGGGAUGACGGCCUUCGGGUUGUAAACUCCUUUCGCUAGGGACGAAGCUUUUUGUGACGGUACCUAGAUAAGAAGCACCGGCCAACUACGUGCCAGCAGCCGCGGUAAUACGUAGGGUGCGAGCGUUGUCCGGAAUUACUGGGCGUAAAGGGCUCGUAGGUGGUUUGUCGCGUCGUCUGUGAAAUUCCGGGGCUUAACUCCGGGCGUGCAGGCGAUACGGGCAUAACUUGAGUACUGUAGGGGUAACUGGAAUUCCUGGUGUACCGGUGAAAUGCGCAGAUAUCAGGAGGAACACCGAUGGCGAAGGCAGGUUACUGGGCAGUUACUGACGCUGAGGAGCGAAAGCAUGGGUAGCGAACAGGAUUAGAUACCCUGGUAGUCCAUGCCGUAAACGGUGGGCGCUAGGUGUGAGGGUCUUUUCACGACUUUCGUGCCGUAGCUACGCAUUAAGCGCCCCGCCUGGG
rnacentral:rRNA from 1 species